ACGGGAUCACGUGAGCGCAUCAUUUGUGUAUAAAAACUUUUUGCAGUCUCUGUUAUGAUUUUCAAGAUGGCGACUGUCAAUGUCUGGAGUAUGAAGUUGCUCUUUUCUCUUUUAAAAAUGUAUUUAGCUUUAUGAAAAAAUCUACUGCAAAGUUAUAAUGGCGGCUUCAAGGUUCUGAUAGGUUAUUGUAAGUUAAUAUUUGUUUUAAAUUGUUUAAAUCUUCAAUUUACGGCUAAAAUUCCAUUUGCGUACCUCUGUAGCCCAAAUAUUUGUUUCUAUGAAUGUGUUUUUGUCAUGAAAUGUUGCUACUUACUUUAUUACAUUGUUUAUGCAGCUUUUCUUGUUUCUCCAGAGUGUUCUUCAGGAAAUAUUCAAGAAUAACCAGUUUGCCAUGGUACGACUUUUGCGUACCUCUCAGGAGAAUAGACUACAUUCUAUUGCUAUGAAACUACAAUAAAGAGGCCCUUUACAUGUUUUUACAUUGUUUAAAGUUGUUUUUGAAUUUUUCCUGUUGCUGGUUUUUUAGUUAUAACAAUUUACAUUCAGCCAUUUUGCUAAGAUGCCAUUGAUUGCUGCCAUUAAUUUAAUGAAUAAUAACAGAGUCUGAUAAUUGAUUUCCGGUCCGUAACCAAUCCCGGUUACGUUAGUCUAUUAUAUCCCUGAUUGCAUACAUAAUACAGCUGCUCCAGUACUUAAACCGGUUUGAUUAUCUCAAACCACCUCCUGAGGUGACCGCUUUAAGGGCAUAGUGUAAACGGGGCUUAGGUCACAGAUACUGUCACAGAAUCUCUCAAAGAGUCUUGCACUUGUUUGGUCAAAAGGAAGGAGACCUUCUGUUGUUGAUGAGAAGAAUAAAAGCAUAUCUACAGGUUGUUAUACCAUACAGACACACUGAGGGAUCAGAUAUUUCUUACUCUGUACCUCUCUUAAAACAAUGGAUAACAAUAUUAAAAGCAAUGGCAGAGCGUAGCCCUAACCUACCCACUCUCAUAUCGACAUACUUACAAUCUGAAGUUAUUGAUUCAGACUGAUAUGUACAUACACAAUGCAUCUUGUUCUCUUUUUUUAUUAAUUUAUGUGAUUAUAGCUGUCUUGAUUUUACCACGUGUGAAAUGAUUUAUUUAUUUUUAAAAAGUUAAUUGAGCCAAAUUUUCUUCAUAAAAUGA